UACGUAGGGGGCAAGCGUUGUCCGGAAUCAUUGGGCGUAAAGAGCGUGUAGGCGGCCCGGUAAGUCCGCUGUGAAAGUCCAGGGCUCAACCCUGGAAUGCCGGUGGAAACUGUCGGGCUAGAGUCCGGAAGAGGCGAGUGGAAUUCCUGGUGUAGCGGUGAAAUGCGCAGAUAUCAGGAGGAACACCAAUGGCGAAGGCAGCUCGCUGGGACGGUACUGACGCUGAGAGACGAAAGCUAGGGGAGCAAAUGGG
rnacentral:rRNA from 1 species